rnacentral:tRNA from 1 species
AUGUCUAUAGCUUAAAUAAAGUAUAACUUUGAAGAGGUUAAGAUGAUUGAAUCUGGAUUUU